UUGGCGGUCAAUUGUUUUCUCUUUUCUUGUCACUUAAAUUCAAUUGAUUAGUUGAUGUUUUUUUCUCAAGUGUAAUCAGGACAUUGACCACCAACGGCUAUUUACUAGUUAACCUGUAAACUUGGUUUCCCUUGAUGGUUUUUCGCUUUUCUCUUCCUCCCACUUGACCCAACCAAGGUGAACAUAUUAUAUAGUUUUCUCCUAUCUAAUCAUGAGGAGAAGAUAAUAAUUGAUAGAUGAAGAUAAACAGGUCAAAGGAGCCAAAUUAGGAUAGAAGAGAGAGAGAAAAUGAUGCCUAGGAAGUAUUUGGCCCACCCAAAUAAAAAGAAAAGAAAAAUUAUAUUUACAGGGAAUAUGUACUUACCCUGCCUACCUUAUGGCUCAUCACUGUCAAUAAGUUUGAAGAUGUUGUUAUUGCCUCUUUUCAUUUUGAGAUCUUCAUUUAACCUGACGAACGUAUCUCUCUCUCUCUCCUAUUCCUCUCCUCUCUCUCUCUCUCUCUCUCCAUCAUCCCAAACCUUACCCAUCACGUUUUCAACUGUCUGGGUGGUUUUUUGGUUCAUACCUGUGCUUGUUAUUGAAAGAGGAGGAAGAGCGAUAAAAAAAGGAGAAGGAGGAAGCUCUGGAUUAAGAUACUAAGGCGUUUAUACUUUCAACAGCCAACGGAAUUACCUGGUCACUGUGUUAACUUAUUCACCAACAAUAGAUUAUCCCUUUGACCGAUCAUUAACCAAUUUACCAUUGAUCACAACGGGAAAAAGUCAAAUUGACAAAUUGUACAACUAUUAUUUUCAGAUUAUCCAGUUGACACAUAAUUAAGCUCGUUAUCACAAUCAUCAUCACCUUGAAAACAGGAUUAACCUAAAUCACCAUAACAAGUUGUGACACAUUGAGAUUGAUUAUCAAAUUUGGUCAAAUUUGUAUACAUAUUUAGCUGAUGGACAAAAAAAACAGUUGACAUGACAGAUUAAUGGAAAUACGGAUAAGAUUAAAUUGUGUGAAUUUUCACAUGAUUAUUAAUCAUACGCUAAUCAUAUCAACCAGUUAAAUUACGAUAAUCAUCCGAAAGUUGAUCCGUACACAGUUGAGAUGUGUAGUGACAGUGGGAAAGGUUAAUUUAAAAGUUUAAAUAUUCAAGUUGAUACCUUGAUGAGGAGCAAUUAAUUUUUGAUAUGCAUAAAUACAAUUAAUUUUGUACGUUAAUUUAGUCCAACAACAACAAGAUGAAGCAAUAGACCUCAACAAAAUGAAUGGUCAACCAGUUCUGAUGAUUACCAAUCAAGAUAACAUCUCGGAAUCAACAACAUCCUUUAUCAUUAAUGGUAUCACAGGAUAAUCAUUUUGUUCAAGUUAAAUCAGUAAAAAUUAAUCUUCAUCAUUUUGACUGAUAAUCGUGAGACCCACCACAGGUUUAAUUACAAUGGUUUCCCUCCCGAUUCCUGGGAUUAAUUGUUGAAAGUUAUCAUGAUUAACUUUAAUUUGGAAGCCAAUGAUUGUCAUAAUAAUUUGACAGGAAUACACAAAAGAUUAUCAUUCAAUUUAUUAAUUGUUACAAUCCAGUUAAUUUAAAAUUCUUAACCAUAAUCCAGUUAUACUCUGAAAUAACGGUAAACAGUUAAUGGUAACAAUUUACACUUUAUCCUUGCUAAUCACGUUUCAAUGGUUAAUUUAAAAACAAUGAUAAAGAUAAUGAUUAAGCUUUUCCAUUGUUAUUAUAUAUACGAUACAGAUUAGACAAAGUAAUCAAAUUAACUAACAAUCAUAAUUAGUGUUGGAAAAUUAUUUUAAAUUUUCUGAUAUUAAACUGGUUUAAAUUUGAUUCUGUAUUGUUUUUGUUUUUGUAGGUUAACCUGAUUAACUGAUAACAAUUUAACAACACAAAAAUUAAAGGUAAAAUUAACUCUCA